rnacentral:rRNA from 1 species
UACGAAGGGGGCUAGCGUUGCUCGGAAUCACUGGGCGUAAAGCGCACGUAGGCGGCUUUCUAAGUCAGGGGUGAAAUCCUGGAGCUCAACUCCAGAACUGCCUUUGAUACUGGAAAGCUUGAGUUCGGGAGAGGUGAGUGGAACUGCGAGUGUAGAGGUGAAAUUCGUAGAUAUUCGCAAGAACACCAGUGGCGAAGGCGGCUCACUGGCCCGAUACUGACGCUGAGGUGCGAAAGCAUGGGGAGCGAACAGG